AUGCCCACCAUCCGGGCUCCGGCUUCCAGGCAGACGGCCACGCUGCAGGUGGCUGUCAAGUGCAGGCCACUGACCGACAACGAGAGCCGGCGCUCGCGGCACAUCAUACAAGUAAUUGAUGACAAGAAUGUAGCUGUGUUGGACCCUGAUAUCUCCAAGGGCUACCUGGACCUCAUCCAGAACCGGACCAAGGAGAAAAGAUACAGCUUCGAUCACGUGUACGCGCCUGGAUGCUCCAAUACGGAUGUUUAUAAGAAUAUUUCUCCCACAGUUUUGGGUGUAGUUCAAGGCCUUAAUGUGACAGUCUUUGCGUAUGGCUCUACUGGAAGUGGCAAAACAUAUACGAUGGUUGGAAGCCGGAGUGAUCCUGGUCUUAUGGUUCUUAGCUUCCGCACAAUCUUUGAUCAAAUAAAAAAAGAUGAUAGUUCAGAUACAUUUGAAGUCUCAUGUUCAUAUCUGGAAGUAUACAAUGAGGUUAUCUAUGAUUUGCUUGAGAAAUCCUCAGGUCACCUAGAGCUUCGUGAGGAUCCCGAGCAUGGCAUAAUAGUUGCUGGUUUAAGAAGAAUUAAGGUCCAUUCAGCAGAUAAGAUCCUUGAACUCUUGAACAUAGGCAACAGCAGACGAAAGACAGAGAGCACGGAAGCAAAUGCAACCUCUUCACGUUCACACGCUGUACUGGAGAUUACUGUAAGGCGCAAGCAGAAAGGAAAAUAUGGUAGUCAAGUUCUUCGUGGAAAGCUGGCCUUGGUUGAUCUUGCGGGAAGUGAGAGGGCUUCUGAAACGAACAAUUUUGGCCAAAAGCUUAGAGAUGGAGCAAAUAUUAACAAGUCACUUCUAGCGUUAGCAAAUUGCAUCAAUGCCCUUGGCAAGCAAAAUAAGAAAGGUCUAGCAUAUGUUCCAUAUCGCAACAGCAAAUUAACUCGAAUUCUGAAGGAUGGUCUCUCUGGUAAUUCUCGAACUGUUAUGAUUGCCACAAUAUCACCAGCUGAUGAUCAGUAUCAUCACACUACCAAUACACUCAAGUAUGCAGAUCGUGCUAAGGAGAUAAAAACACAUGUUCAUAAAAAUAUUGGAACUAUCGACAAUCAUGUUGAAGACUACCAGAGGAUGAUAGAGAAUCUCCAGGGUGAGGUCUCCCAGUUGAAAAAGGAAUUAGCUGAUAAGGAGCAUCAGUUGAGCGUAAAACCUACUGAAAAGGCUGCAGAUAAUGAGCUAUCUUGGCUAAAUGUCUUGAGCCAGGAAACUGGUGAGAAUGUUCAGGAACGCAUAAAUCUACAGAAAGCACUGUUUGAACUUGAAGAAACCAACAAGCGUAACCGGAUGGAGCUCCAACAUCUUGACGGUGCAAUCGCAAGACCACAGGUGGUGAAUGAGAAGGAUUAUGCCCUUUUGCAAGCCUUAACAUCAAGGAGGCAAGUUAUUCUUGACAACAUCCGUGACAAUGAUGAAGCUGGUGCUGGCUACAGAAAGGAUAUUGAACUGAAUGAGAGUCGUAGGCGUCAGCUCCAAGAUAUGAUCGAGGAGGCUACGAGUAACAAUGGGAACAGGACUUACCUGCAGAUUCUCAGCCAAUACAGGCUUCUUGGAAUGAAUAAUGCUGAGCUUCAAAUUGAGAUGGCUAUGCGGGACCAAGUAAUACAUAACCAGAGGGAAUCUCUAAGGAGCCUAUGGAACAUUCUCUAUGGAACAGGGCUAAACCAGAAACAGAUUCUGAAGUUGGCUGCUAAGCAAGGCUUAACUGUAGAAGGCUGUCCUUUGCCUAGCUCGAGCCCUGAUGUUGCUACACCCCAUGGAAGGCUACCACCAUUCAUGUCGUUUCCUAGUCCACAGUCACAGUCUUCCUCUCCAUCUAGUUGCUUUUUACAACAAGGUUUCAGCACCAUGUCUGUUCUCAAAAAUCAACAUGAGACGCCUACCAUCUGUAGGCAGGAACAUCUCAGCUCUUACUACAUGAUGUCUGGCUCCUCGCCUUAUGCUGGUGAUGGAAAACAAUGGGCAAGUGGAGCGUCAACGCCAUACCAUUCUACCCCAGAAACGAAAAGCGAGCGAUCGCCCUGCAGUGGCGAGCUUCGCACCCCAUAUUCUGGAAUUGAAGGUUUCAGCAGGCAAAGGAAGGAUUCGUGCUCUAGAGAAAGGUAA
rnacentral:rRNA from 1 species